rnacentral:ncRNA from 20 species
CGAUAUGUUGUGGGCGUCGGUGCCCGACCCGAUGCGACAUCGGUCGGGCUUAAAAGGGAAUCCGGUGUGACUCCGGAACUGCCCCGCAGCGGUAAAGCGGAAACGAACGCCCCCACAUGCACUGGCCCUCCGUGGCUGGGAAGCGGGAGCAACUAGGCGGAUCGCUCUGAUCCUCGUCCGCAAGUCCGAAGACCUGCCGGCACAGCGGGACGAACG